AUUGAACGCUGGCGGCAGGCCUAACACAUGCAAGUCGAACGGUAACAGGAAACAGCUUGCUGUUUCGCUGACGAGUGGCGGACGGGUGAGUAAUGUCUGGGAAACUGCCUGAUGGAGGGGGAUAACUACUGGAAACGGUAGCUAAUACCGCAUAACGUCGCAAGACCAAAGAGGGGGACCCUCGGGCCUCUUGCCAUCGGAUGUGCCCAGAUGGGAUUAGCUUGUUGGUGGGGUAACGGCUCACCAAGGCGACGAUCCCUAGCUGGUCUGAGAGGAUGACCAGCCACACUGGAACUGAGACACGGUCCAGACUCCUACGGGAGGCAGCAGUGGGGAAUAUUGCACAAUGGGCGCAAGCCUGAUGCAGCCAUGCCGCGUGUAUGAAGAAGGCCUUCGGGUUGUAAAGUACUUUCAGCGGGGAGGAAGGGAGUAAAGUUAAUACCUUUGCUCAUUGACGUUACCCGCAGAAGAGGCACCGGCUAACUCCGUG
rnacentral:rRNA from 1 species